GGGCGCACCGACGGCCCGUCACGCCGCCGAUUUCCCUAAUAUUUAAUUGGCUGUGAWGGAGUUGUAGCAUACACGUUGGGACCCGAAAGAUGGUGAACUAUGCCCGGGCAGGACGAGGCCAGAGGAAACUUUGGUGGAGGUCCGCAGCGGUUUUGACGUGCAAAUCGAUCGUCAGACCCGUGUAUAGGGGCGAAAGACCAAUCGAACCAUUUAGUAGCUGGUUCCCUCCGAAGUUUCCCUCNGGAUAGCUGGCGCUUGUAAAAAUUCAGUCUCAUCCGGUAGAGCGAAUGAUUAGAGGCCUUGGGGCCGAAACGACCUCAACCUAUUCUCAAACUUCCAAUGGGUGAGAUUCUCCGAUCUUGCUGGACUUGAAGGUCGUUAUAAAGGAUGAG
rnacentral:rRNA from 1 species